rfam:Pseudomonas stutzeri A1501, complete genome.
UAAACGGAUCUAUUCAGAUCCACUUGCUCAACUUGAAGCAACGUCG